GGCUCGGUAGGCAAUUGGCAGACCACUUUGGCUUAGAAACAGAGAUGCUGCGGGUUCGAAUCCCGCCUGAGCCA
rnacentral:tRNA from 1 species